CAAUAGUUAUUACUUAUACAAUUAAAAAUUACAAACUCAUUCUAUUUCUGUCUUCUCAAGUCUAAUAUCUCUACAACUCUAAACCAAGGUCUCGGGUGUUUACCUCCUCCAGAGAAUUCAACAUCCCCUUUUUUGGACAUUAAAACCAUUCAUUUAACUAUUAUUGCAUUUGAAAGAAAUAACUAGUUCCAAAGAACAAAAUGUAAUAUUACUCCUAGGAAAGUAAGAGAAAAACCUCACCUGACCCCCCUAGAGAGAACACAACGUGAAUCUCCAGCAUUUGCAACAAGAAGUUGAUUAUUUUGGACGACUGCAACGCAAGCUGUGCAUCCAGCAGAUGGUCCAUAGUAAUUAAAGAGAGCUCCCUACAUUCACAAAUAUAUUUAGCAGGAAUUUAUGAGAUAAAAAUGCAGCCAAAAGAAAAUUACAACACGUCUAAACAAUCAUUCACCAUGUUCAAUUUGGUCCAGUUGAAGUUAGACCAGAUCUCUUUUCCAGUGAUGUAGUGAAUGCAAUCCUAU
rnacentral:lncRNA from 1 species